UACGGGAGGCAGCAGUGGGGAAUAUUGCACAAUGGGCGCAAGCCUGAUGCAGCCACGCCGCGUGUAUGAAGAAGGCCUUCGGGUUGUAAAGUACUUUCAGUCGUGAGGAAGGUGUUAAGGUUAAUAACCUUAGCAAUUGACGUUAGCGACAGAAGAAGCACCGGCUAACUCCGUGCCAGCAGCCGCGGUAAUACGGAGGGUGCGAGCGUUAAUCGGAAUUACUGGGCGUAAAGGGCACGCAGGCGGUUAAUUAAGUUGGAUGUGAAAUCCCCGGGCUUAACCUGGGAAUGGCAUUCAAGACUGGUUAGCUAGAGUCUUGUAGAGGGGGUAGAAUUCCAUGUGUAGCGGUGAAAUGCGUAGAGAUGUGGAGGAAUACCGGUGGCGAAGGCGGCCCCUGGACAAAGACUGACGCUCAUGUGCGAAAGCGUGGGGAGCAAACGAGGGAUUAGAUACC
rnacentral:rRNA from 1 species